rnacentral:rRNA from 1 species
UACGUAGGGUGCGAGCGUUGUCCGGAAUUAUUGGGCGUAAAGAGCUUGUAGGCGGUUUGGUAGGUCCGUUGUGAAAACUCGAGGCUCAACCUCGAGACGCCGAUGGAAACCAUCAGACUAGAGUCCGGAAGAGGAGAGUGGAAUUCCUGGUGUAGCGGUGAAAUGCGCAGAUAUCAGGAGGAACACCGGUGGCUAAGGCGGCUCUCUAGUACGGUACUGACGCUGAGACGCGAAAGCGUGGGGAGCGAACAGG